GCGGGAAUAGCUCAGCUGGCUAGAGCGUCAGCCUUCCAAGCUGAGGGUCGCGGGUUCGAACCCCGUUUCCCGCUCCA
rnacentral:tRNA from 2 species